rnacentral:rRNA from 1 species
AAGCGGAGGAAAAGAAACCAACAGGGAUUGCCUCAGUAACGGCGAGUGAAGCGGCAACAGCUCAAAUUUGAAAUCUGGCCUCUUGGGGUCCGAGUUGUAAUUUGUAGAGGAUGUUUCGGGUACCGCCUCGGUUUAAAUUUCUUGGAACAGAAUGUCAAAGAGGGUGAGAAUCCCGUCUUGGACCGGCGGUAGGGCCUAUGUGAAACUCCUUCGACGAGUCGAGUUGUUUGGGAAUGCAGCUCAAAAUGGGUGGUAAAUUUCAUCUAAAGCUAAAUAUUGGCCAGAGACCGAUAGCGCACAAGUAGAGUGAUCGAAAGAUGAAAAGCACUUUGAAAAGAGAGUUAAACAGUAUGUGAAAUUGUUGAAAGGGAAGCGCUUGCAACCAGACUUGAGCGCGGCGGUUCCCCCUUGCUUCUGCUUGGGUUACUCCGCCGUGUCCAGGCCAACAUCGGUUCUGGGGGUCGGUCAAAGGCUCUGGGAAUGUAUCUACCCACGGGUAGACUUAUAGACCAGGGUGUCAUGCGACCUCCCGGGACCGAGGAACGCGCUUCGGCUCGGAUGUUGGCGUAAUGGUUGUCAGCGACCCGUCUUAAC